CACUAAAUAAUGAAAGAGUGUAACAUUUCUUCAUCAUUAAGAGUUUUAUGCAUACAAAAAGUAUAAAUCAAUUAUUUAUUUAGGAAUCCAAUUAAUAUAAGGUUUUCAAAACUAAUCACUCCAUUUCUUUACAAUGGGAAUAAAUUGUUUAGGAUAUAUUGUUUCAGUUGGAACAUUCAGAAAAAAAAUAAUAUUUAUUCCUGCCAAUUAACAAAUCAACUGUGUUUCUCUCAUCUAUGCAUAUGUCUGGAGAAUUAGUGGCCAUAAAAUCAAGCAAGCAAGAGAUUAUAUUAUUGAAAAUGGUCUUAGGGGAGCAUAUAAACCUACCGCUGGAAAGACAGCAGCUUAACCAAAAGUACUCUGUGGAAGUAUUGGAGGUAAUCCAAUUUUUGGCAGAUGUUAUCUUUCCUGUGAUUAGAAAGAAAGUCGAUAUAAGACCAAGAAAAGUUGUGUUACACUCGUGACGAACAUUGAGAAACAAAAAUUACAUGUAUAAGUUGUAAAAAUGUCCAAAUUUACCUCGAAUAUUUUAUUUUAUAUGUUUUUUUUUGCGUCAUUCACUUAUCAUUUCAUUAAUCACAUUAAAAGAUAUUAAACAAAUAUUGAUUUAUUCACACAAAUGUUUGCUCAAAAUACGAGGGUAUAAUUCUACCUAUGCCACCUCUUAAGGUUGAUAAAAAACUUUAAUCCCUUUCUUGGUAACUUCCAAUAUUUCUGCCUAAAAACUAGUGUGCAUAAUUUAAUGAAAAAAUGUAGAGUAGUCAAGAAAUCUUAGAGCUCUCAAAUUUCUAUAAAAAAAAAGUUAGACACAAUUUAAUAAUAGUAUGGGUACAAUAAUACCCAUACAGUCUGACGAAGAAAUGCUAUAGAUAUCAAUUUCUACAUGAUGGGUAAAAUUAGCAUUUCGAAGAUUCCGGCCACUGUGAGUUUCUUCUAUCCCUUUUACACCAUUAGGAUCCAUGAAUAUACUGUUGCAGAAUUGGUUUUAAUUAUGAUAUCCUUGGCUCCCCAUUUCAUUGCCAUGUUGACGCCCUUCACUAUUGCAUUUCAUUCAGCAAGAUUUAUUAGAGUACCCUCGUUCAAACUGUUGUAAUUGCUGCUGUUGGAUUCAGCUCCGGACUUUAUAUGAUAAUUAAUUAUUAUUUACUUCAAUUCACUUAAAUAACGGAUAUCCUAUGACUAAAUGUUCCUUGGAAUUCUUCACAACUCUCCAAGAAAAAUCAGAUGACCCACCAUGCAAAAAUUUAUGAAAAUUAAAAUCAUACAAUUUGAAUAUGUCAGAUUCAUAAGCUUUUUUAAGCUAUGCUUCCAAAUACUUUAACUAUUUUUCCAGACUCCUUUGCAAACAUCCAUACUCACAUUUAAAGUGAGUUGAAGCAAAUUCCUUAUGAGUUUGCUUACAAUUAUUUAUUUUUUGCCUCUUUUCCCUUCAAAAUUAUGAAAAGAAAGGUUGUAUUAAAAGUUCCAGACAACUUCAAAGAACAGUUAUUGUAAAGAACGCCAGAAAAAUAACAAAAAAAAAGGAUAAGAUUUGCAAUGAAGUUUAUAAUUUUUGCACAUCAGUUAACACACCUUUAAUCUUGUCAAGGGCGUGAUAGUUUGUAGCUUCUUACUCCUAGUCAUAGAUAGUAAACAGAUGCAAGGACUCCUGUAAGCAGGGCCGGGCACCCGCAAAUAUGAAUUCAAAUACGUGUGCAACAUGGGUCCAUUGAAAGAAAAAAAAAUGCAAUGUAUUUGGUAAGAUAAUAACUAAUAACUCUUCGUUACUUUGUGGACUCCAUCUUUAUUGUGUUUUGUAAUUCCAAUCAUGCACACUAAGUGUUGUGCUCUAGUGUGUAGAACGGGCUAUGGCAACAAGCGACAACAGUCUGGUAUUACGAUCCAUCUGUAGCCAAACAAAGAGAAAACCCCCGGACUUGAUAAUGUUUGAUUCAUUCCAAGAGAAACAGAUCUGAAGAGGACAGAUUAUGCACCAUCUAAAAGUACAAAGCUGUAUUCCCUGCAUUUCAACGACUCUGAUUUCAUCUCUGAGUCUAAAAGAAGUCAGACCCUUGGCAAGGCUCUACAGAAAAGGUACCUCAAACCAGAUGGAGUACCAUCCCUAUGGUUAAACUGCCCCAACUACCUCUCAACUUCUAAAGCGUCAUCAAGGCCAACUCAAGGUGUGACCACGUCACGUAGGGUUCAACAGUUCAAGGAACUACAACAGUAUACUGUGUUUCACGAAUAAUUAAUUGGAGCGUUUAAGUUAUACUCCAAAGAAGACAACAGACUGGAGUUUAAAGACACAUCCAAAUUUUCAGAGUUUGUCAGAACUACGUAGAAUAUCCUAAACGUCAAGACACCUGGAGUUGGCUACGAAAAGAGAGAUGAGUUUUGGAAACCAAUCUCUGAAACGAACAAACUUGGCCUCUCUUUCUUGAAAGAUUUUGUCGACUUUCUCAUCGAGUGUCAAAACAGUAAAGCAUCUGGCGUCAUAGCAGAAACCUUCCUAGCAACAGAGUAGACUUGCCUUGCCGUAGCAGAUCUGGCAGAGUAUCAUCUCCUAGAUGAAGACUUCUCCUAUGUACUCCACAGUAUGUCCCAGUCUGAUUCCAUCGAAAGAAGGUUCAGCUGGUACAGACAACUAAGUGGAGGUAUCUAUUACAUCAGCAUUGAGACAGAUACUGGAAGCAGAGAAAAAUAUUCGUAUUAUGAGUCUUGUCAAAUUCUCAGGUAUGACUACUUCAGAAAUUAAAGCUCUGCUGGAUGAAGACCCGGUAAAAGCUGAACUUAUUUUGCCUAAAUGGGAACUAGGUGACCUCCAGGAACUAGCUUCCAAGGGAGAGAGUAAUGCUUUCUACUUUGUUGCCGGGUAUAUUGGUUAUUCUUUGAAGAAGAUCAGCUGUACAUCAUGGUAAGAGUUAAUGGUUAUCAGAGACACACCUCCGGACUCAAUAACCUUCGCUAGCCCAAGCAAUCAGCAUGUAGACCUGAAAGAGUUCUUCAACAUAAUGAGCAGAGGGGGUUGUCCACUCCAUCCGACUUUAUCUACCUCUCCUGUCUUUAUGCUCACUCCAUGUUCUCUUACAUCACAGCUACUCCUGAAGAGAAAAACAGUUUACUUUGCACCCCAAAUCCUAGAGCUUCAUUUGCUGCCACAUUCAUUAACAGGAUGCAGGACAGUUUAAACUCUGACAUUAUCGCUGUUAUGGGCGUAAAUUGCGAGGAAGUCAGCUUUUCUUCAAAGAAUUUUAUUCGCUUUGUUUAAUGUCAUUGGUAAAAAUUUAAGUGCUAAACUGAAUGAUGACAUCCGAUUUUUAAUACAAAAGGAAAUGGCAGCUAAGAAUUCAGAAGCUAAUAGAAAAAAGCUAAAUUUCAAACAAAAUCUUCUGACUUGUAGACUUGGACCAACUUUGUAUUUUUUGAUAUUGCCUUUUCUUUUUUAUAUGUUUUUAAUGUUAAUUUUGAUUAAAGUACUCAUAAAAUACCCCGUCUGUUAGAAAUAUAUAACCUCAUUUUUA
rnacentral:lncRNA from 1 species